rnacentral:rRNA from 1 species
AUUGAACGCUGGCGGCAGGCCUAACACAUGCAAGUCGAGCGGAUGAAGGGAGCUUGCUCCUGGAUUCAGCGGCGGACGGGUGAGUAAUGCCUAGGAAUCUGCCUGGUAGUGGGGGAUAACGUCCGGAAACGGGCGCUAAUACCGCAUACGUCCUGAGGGAGAAAGUGGGGGAUCUUCGGACCUCACGCUAUCAGAUGAGCCUAGGUCGGAUUAGCUAGUUGGUGGGGUAAAGGCCUACCAAGGCGACGAUCCGUAACUGGUCUGAGAGGAUGAUCAGUCACACUGGAACUGAGACACGGUCCAGACGCCUACGGGAGGCAGCAGUGGGGAAUAUUGGACAAUGGGCGAAAGCCUGAUCCAGCCAUGCCGCGUGUGUGAAGAAGGUCUUCGGAUUGUAAGCACUUUAAGUUGGGAGGAAGGGCAGUAAGUUAAUACCUUGCUGUUUUGACGUUACCAACAGAAUAAGCACCGGCUAACUUCGUG